UACGUAGGGUGCAAGCGUUAAUCGGAAUUACUGGGCGUAAAGCGUGCGCAGGCGGUUUUGUAAGACUGUCGUGAAAUCCCCGGGCUCAACCUGGGAAUGGCGAUGGUGACUGCAAGGCUAGAGUUUGGCAGAGGGGGGUAGAAUUCCACGUGUAGCAGUGAAAUGCGUAGAUAUGUGGAGGAACACCGAUGGCGAAGGCAGCCCCCUGGGUCAAAACUGACGCUCAUGCACGAAAGCGUGGGGAUCAAACAGG
rnacentral:rRNA from 1 species